GCUUAAUCCAACCCGACUAUAGAAUAUUCUUUUUCGGGUAAUAUGAAAUCCGAUGCCUUCAGGGUGUAAGCAGAAGGCAAGAGGGCCUGCUCUGCAUGCAUAAUCCCCGGAUGCAUCUGAACUAACACAAUGGGGCCCGGGGCCCCCAAACCUAAGGGACAACUUGUGUACUGAUUGCCUACCCUCCAGGUGCCCUAAGCCACAACUCGCCGCAAGGGUCACCGUCGCAGUACGAACGAUUCCGAAUGACAACGCCUGCGGCGCAUCGGGUAGGCCUUCCCGCCAAGUUUCUGUGUGCAGAUAGUGGCCUACCCUUAGCGCCUGAGCGGCGAUAUCCCCUGCUACCCCCUGCUCUCGUCAACAGAAGUGGACGCACAUACCCUGCAACGAGACUACUACGGGCAACCGGCAACACUUGUUGUUUCGGUAGGCAUGGUUGUGCCACGGAGUAACAUAGAUGGAGCCUCGGCUGUGCCCGGUCCCGGUGUCCGAAUGAAAGCGGGACCCGACUUUCGUCCGUGAUCCGGAGUCUACGGAGCCUGCCACAGAGGGCGUUGGGAGCGCUAUGGCUUGGAUUUAGCAGACAGUGUCAACAGCCGGCUCUUGUUCGCUAUGUUUUGAUCUCCCAUUGUAUUGUACAAUUGCCACACAUUCGUUCAAUGAUACGCCGCUAAUUGCAUGUCUUGAAGUUGUCACAUAUCUGCGUUUACUAUCGGUCCGAUUUUGGCAUGGUUUUGGUUGAGAAACCAGAAGAAACGUGAAAGAACUGUCAUCAAAAGUGCAAUGAGCACAAUGAGCAAAAUGAUCACAGAGUUUGGUGUUAAAGGUUGUUGCAAUUUUCUUCUCAUUCCAUUAUUCCUGAAAUAAAACAGAUGUAAACAGUUCAAAGAGAACUGUAGUAUUCAUAGGCUCUAGAAGUGUCAACAGUAGAAAUAUAUCAUAUAUCAUAACAAAGCAUAAGAACAUUUUGCUACGUCAGGUUAGCCUGCUUUCGGAACCCUUUUUGUGCUUUACGGACCUCUCUUGUACGAAGAUUCCACCUUCUCGUUACAAAAUGCAGCCUCAUAAUUAAAUAGUGCUUGGUUUGAGCAUGAGGAAACAUUCUUCUCUGAUCUAAUUAUCUACUUAUAUAUUUAUGUAUUUAUUUCCCACAUCUCUUUCUCUAUCUAGAUUCAUCUACAUAUCGAUCCUUGGAUUUUAUUUGCAGUGACUGGAUGUGUCCCCAUGCCCCACGACUAAGAUGACCAAAACUAAGUACUGUUACCCCACUAUAACCAUUGUCCAAGUCAUAUCUCAUUUGGUGCCUGAAAAACCCUAGGUUUAGGCAAACCAUUCGCCUCUAAAUACUUUUGGUACUUCACACUU